AGUGAACGCUGGCGGCGUGCCUAAUACAUGCAAGUCGAACGGAGUGGCGCACGGGUGAGUAAUGUAUAGCUAAUCUGCCCUACACUAGAGGCCAACAGUUGGAAACGACUGCUAAUACUCUAUAGUGUAGGUUGAGGCUAUAUUGUAUCAGCUAGUUGGUGAGGUAAUGGCUCACCAAGGCUAUGACGCAUAACUGGUCUGAGAGGAUGAUCAGUCACACUGGAACGGAGGCACGGUCCGGACACCUACGGGAAGGAGCAGUAGGGAAAAUUGCUCAAUGGGGGAAACCCAGAAACAGCAACGCAGCGUGGAGGAUGACACUUUUCGGAGAGUAAACUCCUUUUGUUAGGGAAGCGGUACCUAACGAAUAAGCACCGGCUAACUCCGUGCCAGCAGCCGCGGUAAUUC
rnacentral:rRNA from 1 species